UAACAACUUAAUUUUGAUUGCAUAAAAACUCUGUGCCUUUACUCCACAUCUCCCUGCAUUUAAAAUUUUUUUAUGUCACAAUGUAUAUCUUUUUAUAGCAUAUAUCCCUUAAAAAAUUAUUGUAGCUAUUAUUUUCAAUAGUUUUGUCUUUUAACCUUCAUGCUAAAGAUAUAAGAGAUUCAUUCUUUCAUAUUACAGAUAUAUGUGGCCACCAUUAACGUAUUUGAAUAUUAUGAAUUUGACUAUGUACUUACUUUAACCAGUGAGUUUUAUGUUUUCUUUUUUGUUACUAAUUAGCAUCUUUUUUCAUCUUGCAGACUCCCUUUAGCAUUUCUUGUAAGACAGGUCUGGGGUUAAUGAACUUCCUCAGCUUUUAUUUGGUAAAAACUUGAUAUCUCCAUUUCUGAGGCACAGCUUUGGUGAAUGCAGUAUCCUUAUUUUGUAGUUUUUUUCUUCAGCAUUUUGAAUAUAUUAACCUGCUCUUUCCUGGCCUGUAUGGAACCUGUUGAGAACUUUGCUGCUAGCCUUACUGGAACUCUGUUAUAUGUGAUUUGCUUCUUUUCUCUUUCUGCUUUUACGAUUUUCUCUUUGUCUUUAUUUUUGACAGUCUGACUUUGCCUUGAUGUAGUUAUGUUUGAACUGAAUUUAGUUAGAGACUUUUGACCAUCUUGGACCUGGAUGUUGAUAUCUUUCCCUAGAUUUAGAAAGUUUUCUGUUAUUUUUAAAAUAAGCUUUCUACCCCUUUUUUUCUCCUUUGUGAACUCUUAUAACUAAAAUAUUUGCACUUUUCAUGCUGCCUCAUAAGUCCUGUAAACUUUAUUUUUUUACUAUUUUUUCUUCUUCGAUUCUAUAUUCACAAAUAACCUGUCUUCAAGUUCACAGAUUAUUUAUUCUACAUGAUGAAUUCUGCUUUUGAUGCUGUCUAUUGCAUUUUUCACUUAAUUAUUUUUCCAGUUUCAGAAAUUCUGUUUGACUUUUUAAACAGUUUUAAUCUCUCCAUUACAUUUCUCAUUUUGGUCUUUUAUUGUUUUUCUGAUUUUAUUGAAUUCUCUGUAUUUUCUUGAAGUUUACCAAGCUUUCUUCAAAUAAUUAUUUUGAAAUCUUUGUCAGGUUGUUAAUAUAUCUUUAUUUCUAUGGGACCAGCUACUGGGAAAUUAUUGUGUCCUUUGAUGGUGUUUUAUUUUACCUCCUUGUUUUUUCAUGUUUCUUGUUGUGUUACAUUAAUGUCUAUGCAUUUAAAGUAGGAACUGAUUUUAGUCUCAACAUUCAUCAGUUUCUAGUUCAUCUACUACAUCUUCAGUAUUACCUGUGUUCCUGAGAUUGUGUCUGCUGCGUCUUUAUGGUGGAAGCCACAUUGAUGGGGCUCCUGCAUCUCUUCCUAGUGGCACAGGCAGGGAUGUUGUGUCAGUAGACUGAAGGGCCCACAGUGGGAGCAUUUACACCGUGCACAUUGGCAGAUGCUGCCAAUCAGGGCUUGAUUGUCCAAAGCCAGUUGUUAGGCAUUUACUAGCACACCACUUGGAUACAAAUAAGUGGAGAAAAUAGGAGAGGGUGGCUUUUCAAGAACUUUGGCUCUAAAGAACAGUAAAAGAAAGGAUGGUAAUGGAAGGAUGAGGUGAGAAUGAGAGAAGGCUGGUCAAACAAGAAAGAUCUUAAUGUGUUUGAAAGCUUCUCCCAAUAGGUUAAAGAUACUGGAGAAAGGGUUAAUCACCAUAGUGAGGCACCCAAAAAGACAAGCCUAGGUGAGCACUGGCCCUGGGGUAGACACCAAGACAAUUCUUCCAGUGUAAGGUGACAGGUGGAAUGGGAGGGAGAGGAGCAGGUAAGUGAGAGUGUCAGUGAGCAGGCCUUGGGUGUUGGACCCCGAGAAGGCACUCAGUCAAUCACUGUGAGAUGUGUGAGAGAACCCAUGGCUGCCAGGUGUACAGGGGCCAUAGCUCAGGGUUUGAGGAAGGGAGAGAACAUUUGAAAUCAUGGUGAAGGAGAGCCAAGGCAGUGAUCUGGGGUGUAGAGGUUGCUGUGGUUGAGAGCCACUCCAGUGAGUAACACGGUGGCUUCACAGUGAGGAGGCCUGUGGGGGAAGGCCCAGCUGUGUGUUCCUGGGGGCAGUAACACCUCUCCCCUAUUCCGUAGGUACCCUGGCAUCCAUCUGUGGUGGCCUCGUGAUGCUUUUGCCUGAAAUCACGGGUAUUGCCUUGCCAGAAACAGUGGAUGAUGUAGAAAAACUUGGCAGGCAUUGUCCAAAAUUCAAUGCACCCUAAAUAAAAGCAGCAUUUCAAACCACUGGAGAAAGGAAGAUGUUGAGAAAAUUGAACAUGCAUGGGGAAAAAAUAACAAUAAAUCCUCAUCUUACAUCGUAAGCAAAAAAUUCAAAGUAAACAUAAAAUAUUAAUGUAAAAAAUCCCACCAAAGCUAGAUAAGAAUAUUCAUUAUUUUUUAAACAUGAUUGUGAAGAGAGAAGCAUUUCCAUGUAAGGUGCUAAGACUCAGAAGUGAUCUAAAGGCAGGAACUGCUGACGUGGGAAAGUGGAAAUCGCUGGGACGUGCAGCAGCAGGGGAUUAACAGUGUGGCUUACUCUACAGAGUGAGGAGGCUGACGUCAGGUCUGUCUAGAUGGAAUGGCAUAGGCAGGUUUUCAAGACUGAUUACAAAGUGAAACAUCACUCAACAAUGUGUUAGAGUAUUUAUAAAAAACUAAAACCAAAGGCAGUCCCUCUCUGUAGCUGGAUAGGAAGACAGAUGACACACAAAUGGUAGAUAGGCAGAUAAUAGGUAGAUGGAUGAUAGAUGAUAGAUAGAUAGAUAGAUAGAUAGAUAGAUAGAUAGAUAGAUAGACACAGAUGAUAGAUAAUGGGUAGAAGGAUUGAUGAAUGGAUAAAUAGAUAAUAGAUGAUAGAUAGGUAAUAGAGGUAAGUAGACAGAGAAAAGAAAGAGAGAUUGAGUUUUGGAGGCAAAUAGUGUACAAGGAAAGCUAAUAUCCAGCCAAUAUAUGAACAUGAAGAGUUAUAUCAACAAAAAUUAACAUUACUGAAAUCUUUAUAAGUUUCUGUUUGACAUUUUUCACUAAAAAAGACAGAGAUAUGAAUAUGAGAAUUACAGUAAAAGAUGUAAAACAAUAUCUGGGGACACAAAUGGGCUGGGGAGAUGGGUAGCGAAGGGAGGGCCAUCACUUUCC
rnacentral:lncRNA from 10 species